CUGAAACCAGGUCGAGCCUGGCCCCCAGAGUCUGGGUGGGUCGGACUCGGCCCUGGGGCCAUAGGGCUGGGCGCCCGGAGCCGGAACGUGCCGAAACCGUGACCCCGGGCUCCCGCCACUAGCAGCAGUACCUGGGCGUCCCAGUCCUGCUAAUGGCUAGCCCUGUGUCUCACUGCCCCCAGAGGUCGCAAUGUGUUUGGCAAUGACCAUGGCCCCUACCCGGAGCACGUCACCCGGGCGGCAACCACAGAAAACUCGGAACGGCAGCUCGACGGCCGCAAGAAGCCGCCUCCAGUGCCGACCAACCGCGAUCCGGAAGGCCGCCCGGCCGGAGGGCCCGCGCCGGCUCGUCGCUCCCCGAUACGUCACAUCCGGUCGGAACCGGCCCGGCCGCCUGAGGAGAGCCUGUUUCCGUGGGGGAGGCGGAGCGGGCCCGUGGGGCGGGGCCUCGGCUGACCGGGGGCGGUGCCUCAGCUGGUCGGGGGCGGGGCGGGGCCCUGGCCUGCCGAGCUCGCAGGCGUCCGCCGGCCGGGCAGGCCCGGUGGCGCCGAGCUCCGGGGCCGCGACGGCAGGUAGGAAGGAGCUCCGGGUCAGCACUGCCAACUGCCCUAACACGGAACCUUUGGCCAGUGUGGAAAAAGCAGCCAGCCUGGGGUUCCCUCCCUUGCCUUGUGGUGCAUCUGCUGAAACUCUUCCGGCCCCUCAAGCAGAAAUGGUGUGGGAUCUGGGCCAGACCCCUCUUGCAGUGACUCAAAGCCGCCCACCCUACUGGAAGGACAGGGUGGAUGACCCUUAGCCUCCUCUCCCUUCUGAACUGGCUCACGCCACCGCGGUGGCUUCAGUCCUGGGUGCCUUCAUCUUUUCCCUGUGACUCUCCUCCACUUUGCUUGUCAUAUUCCCUCUGGUUUUCCUGCCUCCCUCUUCAACGGUGGGACACAAGGCUGGACCAAGGCCUCCACGGUAAGUGACCUAAACUCCAAACAAGACGAGGCCAUGGCAUCCCAAGGGGGAUGGGGGAGACUUUCCCAGGGAUGAACCUUUUGCUUAACCUGCCCUCCACCCGCUGCGGCUUGGCUCCCCAGUCUCAGGACGGGGUGGGGGGAUGGGGGCAGGGACAAAGACUGAUAGGAUCUAGAGAGGCAGGGGCCUCUAACAGGACUGGGACACUGCAGGACGUGAGGCAACUGACAGUAGUGAUGAAAAGCCACUGUGUCCCCAUCCUGGUUGCUCCAGUCCCAGCAGGUGAUGUGACAAUUGGGUGGUGGCUGCCCAAACCUCCUCCUUUCAGCCUGAGGCACCUCGCCUAUGAGAAACACUCAUAGUCCCACUGGGAGUUCCAGGCUCUGGUAGGGCGCAUGUGGGCAUGGGGAGGAGCCCCUGGACUCCAAGCAGAGCCUCUCAGAUGUAACACAGCGGCUCUAGGAGCUCAAAUUCUGGGACUGCCAGAGGAGUGGGAGCUCUGAAGGAGAAGAAGCCCUCCCGCAGACAUCGGAUCCUAUCUGACCCCCUCCUGCUGCCCCUUCCAGCAACUUCCCUGGGGAGAUGGGACCUGCUCCACCCCAGAACCCUCAUCUCCCCACUGUCAGCAGGUAGGGGAGGCCACGGAGCCACGGUGGCACCAUUCACAACUUCACGGUGGUGGUGGACAUCAGCCCCUGGGGCCUUCAACCAGAUGGUCACCCACUGCCCACACCACUUUGCUGGCUGCUUUCUACCUGUCAGAUGACACUCAAAUGCCAUAACCUGCUCUCUGAAGGCCUCUCAAAUCUGGCCCAAGCCAGUGUUUCCUAUCAGCACCCUUUGCUCUCCUUGAGCUUGUCUCCUUGUCAUCCCUGGGCAGCCUUUCAGAGAUUUCAUCCUGGUUGUGGGAUUGCUGCGGCCCCGCUGUAGCUGCAUCUCGAAGCUGGUGGGGAACAGGCUAGUGGUGACAGGAUUGGAGGUGGCUCUCUCAAACCCUUUGGUAUCAGGAUGUCUCUGCAUGGUCACUGUGCUGGGCAAGUCCCGGUAAAUCAGCAGGUACCAGCAGGCUGAACGGGAACUCCUACCUGUGGGUGGCUCCUCUGGGUGAGGGAUGAGAAGCUUGAGGCACUUGUGCUGGGGGAGAGGACAACCGAAUGGCACUCAAGGAUCAGCACUCGGCACUGCCUUUCUGUUCCUGGGCUUGGGGCAAGGGGCCCUACUGAGUCGCCCAACAGUGGGCUUCCAGAUCCCCAGGCUCUUGGGCUCACAGCUGCUCACCCUCACCAGCCAUCUCUCUGUGUCCUUUCUCUCCUCAGGAAGAGCUCUGCCAUCAAGGAAGGCAGCACAGGGCUGGGCCGUGCCUAUGGACCCUUCUCAGGACAACCCAAUGGUACCAGCAGGGCUGCUCUCCUAAGCCGCAGAGAGCCUGGGCUCACCAUCCUUCAGGAGGAGCCAUGGUGUUUAGGAGGGGCAGGGGCAGCUCCCAGCAGUGGCCUGGCCCAGGAGGGGGCAGUGGCUGCACAGGCUGCCUAGGUAUGCUCAAGGCUGCCCUGCUGCUUGUCAGCCUACCGUGGGGGGCCUGGGGAACAGCCAUUGCCGGUGCCAACCUCAGCACGGCUCUGGGCCAUACUGUGCCACUGACAGGGGGCCGCUACUUGAGCAUUGGGGAUGGCUCUGUGAUGGAGUUUGAGUUCCCAGAGG
rnacentral:lncRNA from 1 species